rnacentral:RNase_MRP_RNA from 1 species
AUCGUCACUGAUCGAAGCUUACAAAAGGAUUCCCUCAGGAAUCACCAAUGCUUUGGGUUGAAAGUCUCCCACCUGGCCGUAUGCGGAAAACGCAAUGAGAUUUAAAAAUUUUUAAAACUGUUUAAAUCAACUCAUUAGAGAUGCGAUAGUGUCUCUGUUGUCCCGGAAGAUUUACUCUUCUGGUGUUUUCUUCGGUAUGGAAGUCUUAUUGACUUCAAACCAUAGUUAUGACGAUUGUCCCUGCUUUUUGUAGGGGUA